AAUUAACUACUUCAAUGGCUGUGGUGGGCUGUGGCCCACAGAAGUUUUUGGGCCCAAAAAAUAUAGCUUAUAAAUGAGUUAUUUUAAAUAUAACCCAAUAUAUAUUAACUUAUUAAAGUUAAAAAAAGUUCAAUUCUUUAUGAAUUUAGUUGUAGGGUAACAAUAAAUAUACACAUUAAAAUAAAAGAAUGGAUUCAUC
rnacentral:lncRNA from 1 species